CCCCUGAGAACUGUGUUGUAGUUGCUUGAACGCCUCUUUAACUUUCUGCAAGACCUAACAAAAAGGAGUGCGGUGCCAACUCAUUAGCCGAACACUGUUUUAAAAGACGAUAAACAGUCACGUAGCAAAAAAAGGAUUUGGGCUGAGAGUGAAAAGCAGUCACCUUCCCGUCGGAGAGCGGAUGCACAUCAGAAAUCAGGCGGGAGAGAAAUACCUAACAGCGCUGGCCAUAAUGUGAUUAUACUUAAGGAAUCCAAAACAAAGUUAAUCUGAUCAACAGGGAUCAAUAGAAAAGUACACAAGCUGAAGGAAAUCUCAGCAGGACUUUGUGCCCAUGUGAGCUGGCUACCUCUGGAAGAGAAACACCAACCAGUUCUUCAGCCUCUCUCUACUUGGUGCCUUUGCCUGAAAAGCUGGCAGUGGACUGGGCUGCAGAAGGCCCUUCUGUGAAAUUUUGGGACUGAGGAAUGCUUAAGACAAUAUAGGACUGGUCCACCACCCUGAGUCACAGGUAGCUGGUUCAUCAGGCUUGUGAAAAUGCACUCUGCAGUAGACCACCUACUGUCAGUCACCUUUAAUUUGUUGGAGCUUCUAGGAAGGAAUAAAUGGGCAAAAUCAGGCUUAUUGUGGAUUCACAACUCUAAUCAUGAUGACUGCAGUCAUUAUAAGGAGAUUUUUGAAGCCCCAGAUGUAUGAAAUCAGGCAGAGCCAUGGCAUUCUGGCACCUUUUAAAGAAGUCAGAGAUGCGCUCUAUUUGUUGUGGUUCAGCUGCAGACACCAAUCAAGCCCCACGUAGCCCCUUGCCCACUGCCCUACCACUGGGGUUGGGGAGAGAGUUGGAAAGGUAAAAGGUAGAAGACUUGUGGGUCAAGAUAAAGAUGAUUUAAUAAAGAAGGGAAAAGUUGCACAUGUAAGCAAAGCAAGAAAAUUAAUUCACCACUUCCCACAGCAAGCAAGUGCUCAGGCUGCUCCAGGAAAGCAGGACCACACGUAACAGUGACUUGGGAAGACAAACGCCAUCACUCCGAACAUCCCCCCACAAGAGGAAGGGAUCAUCUGCAGUGCAAGACUGUGGAGGAAGAGGAGAAGGAAAGAUAAGAAGGGACACUGGAGACCUUGGUAUGAGCAGAAGUGGAGGUUACAGAUGAGGAUGUGCAGGAAGAAGGCAGACGUCUAAGCAGAGAGAAGGAGUAGAGACAGGAUUCAGGGGAGAAAUAAAUAGAAAAAGCAAUUUUAUAUUAUUCCCUAUCCAAAACCUGUCAUGGAAACUGCAUUUGCUAACCUCUACCUUUCAUAUGUCAUUGAACAGGCUUGAAACCCACUGGUUAAGCUGUGCAUCAUAUCUAUUUAUUAAUGAUUAAUCAAUAUAUUCAGUUUGCUAUCAUCAGAACUUCUGCUGUUAGCUCAGUUGGAGAGGUAUUUGAUGCUGUGAUUCCAAAAGGCCAAUCCCUAAUUGUGGUCUCAGUAAUAAUAAUGCUGGUGUAGAUUAAAACAGCAGAUGUUUAAUUUCAAAAAAUUUAACAUCUGUGUGAAAAGAGCACCAAGACUGUGAAGUCAAAACCAGAGGUGCCCGAAACUCCGGAGUGUAAACACACCCAUAUGGUCGCACUUUUGUCUGUUUUCUGCGAUAAUUAUUCUGCAGACUUUAAUGACAAGCACAGAAGAGGUGAGACAGGACAGGACAGGGUGACUCAGUCCUGCUGACUGCCAAAGGUGUCUUCUCUGAGGGUGAACUGGGUUUGUGUUCCUGUUGCCUGCAGCAUCUGUGCCUCAUGUAUUGCAACAAACAGGGCAGGGGGAUGCAGAGGAAAAUGGGCAUCGCCUUGCAGCCAGAGAAUGAGAAUGUCUCUGCCUCUACCAGAGAUCUGUACAAAGACUGGCAUGUCUGCUCAUUCCAGCUGACCAAAAAUCCUGUUUUUCUCACACUCUCUUGUUACCUACACAGGACUUUGAAGCCAGAUUCAUGCCAGUGUGGAAUUGUUACUUCUGGAAACUGAAGAAAAUCUGGCUGUUCUCACCUUAGACAGUUUUGGACACUGAGGGAAAAAGCCAAAACCAAACAGCACUCCAAACAAACAAACAAAAACACCACCAAAAAAAGGAACAAAGAAAAAAUAAAAGUUUGAUUUAAAUCUCUCAAGUGAGCUUAUUAGAUCCUUUUGGCUAUUUUUGUGUGACAUUUUUCACCUGUGAAAAAAUGGUAUAAAUUUUUAGCAAAGAAUUGUAAGUAAUUACUGCUCAUGAACACAGCUCAUGAAGGAAGAAAUUGCUCUGCAUAUAGCGUGUAUUUGCUUGCUUUUGCUAGUAUAGUGCAAGGACCUGGGCACAGAGAAAAUGAUUAAUUCAAUGUGACUAUAUCAAUUCAAUAAUUGGGCAUUUAGUCUAAGUUCAUGUCAACACAAUGAUCUAAUGAUUAAUCCUAUUCCAAGCAGACACUUAUACAGAACAAACCACCCUCUGUGCUUGCUGGGCUGUCUGUCACUGGUUACUGAGGAAGCAGGGAUGACUAGUUCAGGUCACAUACCAAAGUUUAGGAGCCAGUGGAGUGAGUGAAUGUCACUAAAUACUGUGAACGAGUACACAUGAUUUGGGAACUGGACAAACUGGUUUUUGUCUAAAACCUUUCAAAUUUAAUUUUUACAGAGAUUUCUGUGAGUAAAAGCCCAAGAAACCCAGACCAUUGUGCUGGGUAAUAUAGCAGGAGGAAUUGCUCUCUGGUGCAAUUAAAAACUAAGUAAUGAAAAAGGUGGAAAUAAGAAAAUGGUUUUCUAGUCAUAUAGAACUUCUGUAAAUAAGAUCAAAGUGUUUCAGCUGUUUGACUGCCAGGAUAAGGUGAGCAUGUGAGGCCUACAUUCUAAAAAAACAUUCCAUCAUAGAUUUUUAAACUAUUAGAAAUGAUAAGUUUAUAUUGUUUGCUGAUGUUAAAGCAUAGAAAAAAAAAAAAUCAGUGUAUUAGCUCCUGUGUUUCAUUACACAAGGUAUGUUACGUAUGAACUGAAUCUCAUGUCUGGUGAUGGACAAAGUCUGUUUGUGUCUAAUGCUGUUCCCUGGAGAAAUUGUUCAAGAGCUGUUCAUCCUUGUGGAAAGAUUACUCUGAUAUCAGUGUGACUUUUCUGCUAUGUAAGUGCCAGUUGAGUUGUAAAGCUUCUCCAGGGCAUUUUAUCAGGUGCUCUUACUCAGCAUCAAUGGUCUCUAUGAGAAGAGAAACAGCUGAGAAAGAAGGCUUGGUUCUUCUGGUUAAAAUAAAUGGAUCUGGCAAAUGCCUUUUCAAUCCUAUAUUUAUUUUUUUUAUCACUAAUUUAAUAUUUUUAAUCUGAUGCAAAGUAUCUCCACCCCUCUGCUGUCACAGAGAUAUUGAAACCUAUAGAAUUUCUAUUUUACUUAUUUUGUUCUCUCCAUUAAUGCUGAGUAUUACUUCAGAGGAAAGAAAAAAGAUGUGCUAAAAGAUGUGGAUCUCCAUUUAAAGAACUGGUUUUCUUGAGCUUAUGCCAAGAGCUUCAUCUUGGAAAUUCUUCAGAUUCUGUCCUUGGACAGAUUUAUAUAUGGGAUUUUCACAUAUGUUUCAGUGAGAGUUUCGCACUUUUAUCUUACAGAAGAAUUUGACCUCUGGGGUGUACCUCUCUUGGGACUAGUUUAGGAAUAUUAGCUGCACUAUAUCCUGAAAAUAUUUCAUGCCCAUUGCUGCCUGAGUGAGAGUAAUUCAGAUACCACUUUGUAAGACAUUGAAAGCGGAUCUUGUAAUCCUUUUGAAAUCUUUCCUUUUUUGAUGUCUGUUUGUUAAUAAAAUUGGAAACAAAAUGCACAAAAA